GCCGGUGUAGUUUAGUGGUAGAACAUCAGCUUCCCAAGCUGAGAGUGCGGGUUCGAUUCCCGUCACCGGCUCCA
rnacentral:tRNA from 5 species